UACAGAGGGUGCAAGCGUUGUCCGGAAUCACUGGGCGUAAAGGGCGCGUAGGCGGCCUGAUAAGUCGGGGGUGAAAUUCUGCGGCUUAACCGCAGGACGGCCUUCGAGACUGUCGGGCUUGAGCACGGUAGAGGCAGGUGGAAUUCCCGGUGUAGCGGUGGAAUGCGUAGAGAUCGGGAGGAACAUCGGUGGCGAAGGCGGCCGACUGGGCCGACCCUGACGCUGAGGCGCGAAGGCGUGGGGAGCGAACGGG
rnacentral:rRNA from 1 species